UGAAGACUGAUUUUUAUUCCUAAAGAAGAUGAAAAUAAAAAUAAAAUGAAUGGAUGGGUGUUCAAGAAUAUUCUGGAGCUCCAUAACAGCUUCUUAUUUUCAAACACUCUUUAAAUGCAAAAUAAAAAUCUCAGAAAAAAGACCACGGCAGCUUUUUGUCUUCUUUCCUCUCAUAAAACAACCUCCACAUUCGUCAGGUGACCCUACUGAGGGCUCCGACCCAUAUGUUGGGAACCACUGUGCAUGCAGACGGCUCCAGCUGUGAUGCAUCAUCAGGCAGCAAAACAAAGUUUGAAGUUUUGGAGGAAAACAGUUUGAGCUGCUUGCAGAAGCUUUACUUCUUUACUGAUUUAGAGCUUCUGACAGAAGGCAGCAGACGACACUACAUUUAAUGUGACCUCCUAACCAUCCUACUACAGCUUUAACUACAACAUGAAUAAAUAUUUCAUAACAUUUUAAUUCAAAUAUUUUUCUCUUUUCUUGGAAAUAAUUUUGGAUUUUUGACCUUGACGAGAAUUUUUCUCAUUUUUCAUUUUUUACAAAUCAAAUAAUCAGCUAAGAAUUAUUCAAAUGAGAAUAUUAACAAUCUAUAAUUAAGAAAAUUCAUCUCUGGGCAGGGUUUGCACAGAAGGAGUACUUGUACUUUGCGGUAUUACUACUUGAAUAAUCUGACGGCUUCCUGCACUGCUGGAUAAACAGGAGGUUAAAUAUUUCCGCCUGUGAUCUCGUCUUAUCUCUCCUCCAGCAUCUGUCGCCCUGCAGCAGCCCCCCGGCCGCCGUCACUUCACAGUUUAAAGUGUUUUUUUAAAAAGUAAAAGAAAACCACCCGAAACACUUAUUUCAGUGUAAUUCCGUGUCUGACACAUUCAGGUAAAAGUGCGUAACCUCCUCACAGCUUCCUGUCCUCCCCCCUCCCUGCUGCAGAGGUGGGCCGUUCCCUCUGCUCUGCUCCUGUGUGGGACGAACCAUCUGAGAGCUGCGGGGGUGCUGCUGCUCUGCUGCGUCAGACCACCUGCUGAGGCUGCGGCCGACAUGACUGAACACAGAUCAGAUCCUCCUCCGUCCUUCAGGCUCCGUCAUGUUCGACUCGCUGUAACACACUGACGGCAGACAGCUGCAGCUGCUGUGCACAGGAGCACCAACUUUCAACGAUGCAGAUUUCUGUGUCUGAAUAAAACCAGAGAAAGAUUUAAACUGGAGUUUCACAGACGACACAUUCAUUGUGCAAGCAGUGAUUAAAUAUUUGAAGCUGUGAGUGAGUGUGCUGCUUGUUCUUGUAUUCAUCAGGUCCCCAAACUGUUCUAUGAAUUAUAUGAAGCUUUAAAAACACAACGUUGAGGACCCGUCGUGUUUAAAUAAUGCAUUAAGACCUUAAAUAUAAAAAACUGCUCAGCAGUAUGAAGAGAAUCUUUGGAUUUUAGACAAAACACUGAAUCUGAAAACACGACUUUGAGCUUAAGCUCUCACUUCUUAUUGUGCAGUUUUCCACCGCCUCACUGGAAGAUCCUGAAUCAGGAAUUUCUCCAACUUUUUACUCUUUUUCUGCACUUUUUACAUUUUCAAACCAAAGAACUUGAAAUUGUAGAAGUGCACUUACCUGGACAUUGGUCCAAAUAAAUUUACUAACAGACUAACUUACAAAAUUAAACUUAUUGGCAAUGAUUUUUCCCACGGACCUUAAACACAACCUCUACAAACGGAGGAAAUUUAUUAGAAUACAGAUCAGCUUCUCAGACCUUAAUAUGCUUUAUUUUAAUGUUAAGACUUUAAAUUCAUGCAGAAACCCUUAUUUAUGUGACACAUUAUGUUAUUCUUACAACUUUCAACUAUCAGAACUGCUUCUGUUUGCAUGUUUGCAAUAUAGACAAAAAGAAGAGAAAAAUCCAAAAGAAAUAAACCACAUUUAGUCUUUUGGAACCGCCAGUUUAUUUUAGUACCAAACCUUAACUUUUAUGUAAUAUGAAUUAUAUGGAUGUAAUGAGUGUAAAAUGUCCAAUAAGAUGUGCUGGACCCACCUCCUCGCUGUUGUGACCCUAAAGUAAAAGCAGACCUCAGGUUUACCUGCACUGCUUCCUCUUCCUCACAGGAGAGCAAAGCACAAAUAAAAAGGGGCAGAGAUACAAAGUACAACUCACAAAAUAAAAGUCCGGUUUAUUGUCAAACAACAAACUUUGCACAUACAUCAAAACAGGCCGUCAUAAAACAAAAAGUCGCUGACAAAAACAAAACCAAAAGAAAAAAAACCAAAAGAAAGGAAAAAGAAAAGAGGCUCUUUUCUUUGGCCUUACCCUCCCAUACAAACAAACUAGUUAUGGUACAGCUAAAGUACAUACAUUAAAUUUACUGGAAUGCUCUGAGUUCAACGGCUUAAGAGGUUGUCUUUCAUGUUUUUAUUCAUUUUAUUUUUUUACACGUUUUUCUAAGAUCUGUUGAGAUAUCGUAACAUGGUCAACCAAGUAAAAUCUUUCGUUAGAGAAGCACCGAUUUGGUCUGACGGGAUCGCUGCCGAGAGAGAAACUGCCCCCCUCCCCUCUCCUAACAAUAUGUACAAAAAUAUAAAAUGUAAAUAAAAAUACAAACAAAUUCUCCUUUUGUGUUGUUGCUGAAGAGAAGCCGGAUUUCUGCGUCGUCGAUGCGGUGGCGGGUUCCUCUAGAAAAUUUGUCUCGCAGCGUCGAGGGGAGCUCGGGUGGGUGUGGGCGUGGCGGGUGUUUGUUGAACUCUACUUGCUAAUGACCAUGUUGGAUUUUUUUUAUUAUUAUUAUUUUUUCCUUUAAAUCAGUCCUCCAGCCCCUCCACCUGCGACAUAGAAAAAUGGUCAGAGGUGAAGAAUCAGGAAGUGGUUCAGCAGGAUGGCGCGGGGGAAACGCAUCAAUCGUCAUCGUCGGUUUUCUGCUUCUUGGUUUCGACGUCGUCCUGAAAGAAGAGAAGACGGUGGCGGGUUAGACCGGCGCCUGCUGGGUGUCACGGCGACGCUCGAUUUAAGGGCGUUUAAGCGCCGCUGCCUCACCUCGUCGUCGUCCUCGUCAUCCUCAGCUGCCCGUUUUGUGCCACCCUCAAUCUCGUCGUCGUCCUCCUCCUCAUCUUCCUCAUCACCUACAGGACAGAAGUUGAAAGGUGAGAAAGACUAACAAGAGUUCUUUAUUUUUUUUUUAAAAGGCAAAUAAGCCUUCAAGCUACCUUCUCCAUCAUCUUCCUCUUCUUCCUCGUCCACCUCCUCGUCCUCCUCGUCAUCUACCUCGGGCUCACCGUUCUCUUCAUUCUCCUGGAAAAUACAAAAAUGGUUAAAAAUGUCCGACUCUGUGCAGAGAGCUGCUGCGGCGGCGGCGAUGGCGCUCACCUUCCCAUUGGUGGCGGCGUCUUUGCCGUUCUCCUUCUCCUCCACCAGCUUCUUCUCUUUCAGGUCCUGGAAACAAACAGAAGCAAACAUCAGAAACUGAACCUGCUCAUCUGCCCAGCAAAACGCGCUGCUGGGUUUAGACUCCGCCCACCGCUACCUGCCCUUCUACCUACUGGCCUACUUAGCAGCGUCCCAGUGCUUGCUGGGAGCUGCACGUUUUUCUGCCUUCCUAUUUAAACACCAUAUUGGUCUCCGCAGAUCCUCCCCCCACCUCUUCCCUCUCCUCCCACUCCAUCCCCUCUAAUGUGUUGUAAUCUGAUACUUUGAUGUGGCCCGCGGGGCAUUCUGGGUAUUGUAGUCUUCUAUGGGCCGCUGUCGCCGCCAUAUGUCACGAGACACGCCCGGGAGAGGCACUGCAAUACCCAGGAUGCACCCCGUUUAAAAUAACACAGGAGGGCGCAGGAGCAGGGAGGGAGCAGGAGGAGGGGUCGGUGAUGGAGGAGGAGGAGGCGGCGGAGAGAGCGCGAUGCACGCUGCUGCUACUGCUCGUUGUAACGGAGGCAGGAAAGGACAAUAGAAGACGACACAUGGCAGGCGAGCGAAGACACGGCACCUUCCGCCUCCGUGCUCGAGCUCAGCGCGCACUAACGCCGCUUCUCUUCCUCGUUUUGUUCCCUCAUAGCCUAUUAUCCCCGCCACACGCGCGCCUCACGCAUCCACACGUAGGCUGUUAUUGAUUAAUUGCUCUCCAUAAUCUUAUUGGUUGAAAUCCAUUAAGCUGUUAAGCGGCAGGAGGAGAGCAGCCUGGCCGCGCGCUGCGCGUAAAAACGCGCCUGUGCGUAAAAACGCUCCACAACUAAAAAUAGUGAACAGGCUCCCCGGAUUACCCGCGCUAAUGCCUGUCCAACUUUUCCCCUCUACACCUUCACCACCUCCUCCAAAUGGACAUUUGUUACAAUCGCUCAGAAUUAUCGGGCUCGCUGCUGCUCUGAUUCCCGGGAUGAUCGCGGUCCGCGGAGCCACAACUCCCCCCGCGGGGGCGAUUAAACUUUUACCCGAUCUGAUCCAAAGUCCACGCGCACAAAAACUCGCGUUUUCACAACAAAAGCAGCUCAAACGUUUAAACGGAGGAAAAACCCGCAGAAAGAGGGGAAAACCAGCAACGUCACAUCACACCUCCACAGCCCGGCCACGCGCGCUCACGCACACACACACACACACACACACACACACACACACACACACACACACACACACACACACACAGAAAGAAGUGGCUGCAUUACAAAAAAAGAAAGAAAAGUUUCCCCUGAGACCGAAGCGCGCCCUGCAAACAAGCCCCGAAAACACCAAAGCAAAGCGGAAGCCCCGCGCUCACAACCGCUCACGCGCUCCGGGAGCGGAGACCGGAGCAGCUGAGGCUGGAGCAGCGGCGGCCGCCGACCUUCCGGAGUCGGUAAACAAACGGGGUCAGACGGUGCAGGCAGAUCGGUGGCGUUAACAAACGGGCUCACGGAAAUAAGAAAUAAAAAAGGCGGGAGGAAAAGUGCAGAACCGAAAGUUCAGCGGAGGACUACGCACCGCCUGACGCGCUGUCCUCCAUUCAAACGGAGCAAACCCCGGGCUGGAGGUCCGCGUCCACGCAUCCACCGGCCGCUCACUCCGUCACCGCUCCCGGUAAUGCGACCCGACCGAGUCCCUGCACCGGGAACGGAACCUCCCCUCGAUCUAAACGCGUUAAGAGCCCGAGAUGCGGGAUAGAUGUGCGCGGCGCCCCGGCGCUCACAACGAGCCCGAAAACCCCGCGGGGAGCGAGCCGGGGGACCGGAGCUGCUCGGUGUCCGGGUCCCGCUUGGAUGUGCGCGUGGAGCAGCAGGAGAACCGAGCUGCUGGCAGAAACAAAGACCCGCGCAGACCGGGACGCUCCGGACAAUGAGCCGCGGCGCUUUAACGCUGCCCGUGAUGCGGUGCCGAGACCCCCCACUUCCCUCUACACACAGAGUUCAGGGGGAAAGACGCGAACACCGACUUUUCUUCUCCACCUCAGACUCCACAGAGUCCGAGCGAGCGCGAAGCGACGACGGAGAGGUUUUAAAUGUAGGUUAGAGCCUGGAGAGCUUUAUUCUUGUAAGGGGGCUCCGCGGAGACACGGCCCCGCGAAUGGAGGUGUGCGGCGGCUUACCUUGGCAGAGAUAUCCGAGCCGGAGUCGACCUGUGUGUCUGCCAUUGUUUAGUAGAAUAAAAUAAAGGACGGCUGAAAUGAAAGGUUGAAUAAAGUAAAUCCCCUCGUCUCGGUUAGCGGAUCAAUCAGUAUUAUAUUGUGCCAGUGGCCAAUGCUUCUGACGGCCGAGCCUUUAAUAUAGGCUUGUGGGCGGGGUCUUCAUGAGGUCGGUGGUCUCUGAUUGGCCAGAGGCUCGGCAGAGGUGUUCUCCUAGCGCGUAGAGUAACAAUGGAUAGGAUUUCUUAACCCAAAGGCCACGCCCCCUCCUAUUCUAUCGCUGCAACCGUCCCUUUCUCCCCUAAAACAAUAAUCAGAGUCGAUAAAAGCCCACAAAACGGACCGGAGCCGGAACCGUGGCAGCUCCACAGCACCGUGAGCGCAAGAAAAUCGAGUUUCCGUCGAGUUACGCAGUAAAUAUGUCGAAUCGAGAGCGCUUCGGUUGACGUAGUGUCACUUUGAUUGAUUGAUGUGCGUCUGGACGAGUCAAGCGGCGACUUCAGACGGUUUCUCCCGCCCACCGCCGCGACGGGGGAAUAGAGGCGAAGUGUUUGGGAGGGAAACGUGGACGACACGGAUGUUAUUACGGAUUAAAUCGGGCUUUUCUCCCCAAAAGUUAGUGUCACAUCUCAAGCUCCAUGUGAACAACAUCAGUCAGAUACAAGGCGCUCAGAGUGUAAAUGUGGAGCGGCGCCGCCAUGUCACAUCGCAGCUCUUCGUCGCCCCGCCCCUUCCCGACGUCCAUGUUUGAAACUCAUCCCUGUAUGUGCGCACUUGACACUCUUGAGGGCUUUUUUUUUUUUUUUACAUAACAGCCCAUAAAUUCGUGCGCCAAGGUCGAGACACAAAUAAACACAGUGCCCGUCGAACAACACACACACAGCCGGCUCUGACGCCGUGAUUCGGGCUGUUCGGGCUCAGUGAGCGGGUGCAGUGAACAGUGCUGGUGGCUCAUUUCCUCCGCCUCCAUUGUUAGGACCCACAGAGAAAUGCCCCGCCGUGGAGGAGGGAAAAAAAGCAGUGCGACAUAAAAGACAUGCGAUGAGAGAAGUGCGGAAAAUAAUUAUAAUGUGCUCAUGAACUGACGCGCAUUCUUAUGAAACACAAGGGCAAACACGUAUUUUCCUUACCGACUUUUGUACACAUGGCUUUUACAAGCUGAACUGAGAAGGACAAAGCGGCACGCAAAAAAGGGUAGCCGCCAUUGCUCAGUGUUGAUGGGGGAUGGGAGCAAAGUGUGCUCCGGUAACAGGCAGCCCACAUUCACAUUCUACUCUGAUGACGCACUUGGCCGCAGAGGACGGCUCGGAUUGGUCGGCUAAGUGGAAUAAACACGGCUUUGGCGCACGGCAGGCGCUGAUUGGUUACCGCCGACGUUCCCAGAGCCGCUGCGGGGCCGACGGUGCGUUCAGGUCACGUGGGGAGAAGCAGAACAGGACCACUGUGGUUAAAGCCUCAGUUUCACCACAGAUGCUUUAAGGCUCACAGACUGGACGAACGCAACAAAGGCUUAAGAUGAUCGUUUGUAACUGAGGGCGUGAUUUUAUGACUCAUGAUUAUUCAUCAUUGUCACAGGAUGCGUUCCUCUAAUUUUGGUGAUUUUAUGACUUUUCUCUUUGGUUUUAUAUGAGUGACCAGGACAGCUGCCAUCACCAGUGAAACUGAGCCCAUCACAUGAGACGGGGAGCAAAUAAAUCUUGAAUCAAAGGACUUUUAAUGAAACACUGAACUCAGACCAGCUCUGAGUCUGGACACGGACUGUCAGACUUGUGAACGUGGGGAUAACAGCAGAUAUAUGUCCACACAGGCAGAAUCCAGCUGUUGUAUUAGCAUGAAGAGCAGUGCUAUUAGUCAGACACUGAUACCUGUGUUCUUAAAUCAUCAGUUUGUGGAGGCUUGGUUGAGUCGGUGACUGUGGCCACUCGCCGGCUCGGCCCCGGCAUCAUCCUGAUUUGGUCCCACGACUUUUGAUGAACUCCUGCUGGUUCCCUGCUCACAUCACUGAGCACUUGAUGCUCAGACCCGUGAAUGUAAAAGCCAAUAAGGAAUCCAGUGAAGGACACAUGUUGAUAUAAUCUGCUCACAGUGAAGAAGGUGAGCAGCACAUACCUGGAAGGCUCCGCCCACAAACAAAGGAGGGAAACGCCUCUGAGCUCUUUGAUAAUCAGACACGCUGUCGGCGUCGCUGUGAGUCACUGAUGUGCUGAUGUUUCUGAUAUUUCAUCUUUCUGCCUCGUUUUCAUUUGAUGUGAUUUUUACUGCCUGUGAGCCUCUGACCCGUGUUCAGUGUAAAUAAUGUGUCCUGUCCAC
ensembl:lncRNA